CCAUGUAGUUCAAAAAGAAUGUAGCACUGAAGAUGCUAAGAUAAAUCCUGAAAAAUUUCAUAGGCAUAA
rnacentral:tRNA from 1 species